UUGUCUGUGUAUUUAAGUAGCCUUCAAUUGAAUAUAACAGUUCAAUGAACACUAACAAAAGCUUGUUGAUUUAUUUUACAAAUGAUCUGAAACAUGUCUGAAGGCCUGCUUUAUGUUGGAGUGCCGGUAUGCUACUCGAUAUUUUAAUUAAAUUAUUAAUUUAAUUAAUUAAAUGAUUAAAAAUGGCUACUUUAGCGGCUGUAUGAUCAAUAAAUAAAAAAACUACAGCAUCAUAGAGAACUCCAGCUGUAUUUAUUCAUAUUUUGUUUGGCAAUCAGUCGCUCCCCGACAAUUCCGACAUUUCCGACCGAACAUGAAAGCAUCAAAAGCCUUUUGGCAUGGUCAAUACAGAGGAGCGGGGUAGAAAAUGCCAGUUGUGCAGGGGAAACAAACCUACAAUGGGCUUACCUGUUGCUGCAGUGGUGAAAAAAAGUUUGUAGAAAUGAAGAGGAGGUUUUAUUUUCAAGUGUUGCAAAAGUGCAGAUGAAAGCGCGAAGAGACGCAACAUCUUCCAGAGGUCGGACUUUUAUCUGAGGGGUAGGCUACUGUGAAGUCACAGUCCCGUUAAAUACAAAAUAAGUGGGAGAAAAACGGGACUACUUUCAAACUUUAUUUAGUCGAGUGCUGGAGAUGUUUAGACCGUCUAGGAAACCUCUCACAUGCAGAACCGCCCUGUAAGCAGGGGCAGCCUCCAGAUCAGCCUCUCCCCUGCAUGUCUCUGGCUACCACACACCUAAUCAGUCCUGAUUAGAUGCACUGUAAGAGACGAGGAAGCCAGCCUUUCAGAAGUUAUGAUGACAGAAGAAAGCGAUGGGCUCCCUUAAAUAAAACCUUCAUGAGCAGAAA